rnacentral:rRNA from 2 species
GACAGAGGAGGCCAGCGUUGUCCGGACUUACUGGGCGUAAAGGGUCCGCAGGUGGUCGGGCAAGCAGGGUGUGAAAGCCGCCGGCUCAACUGGCGGUCGCCAUCCUGAACUGCUUGACUAGAGGGCUGGAGAGGUCGGUGGAAUUGCCGGAGUAGUAGUGAUAUGCGUAGAUACCGGCAGGAACGCCCAAGGGGAAGCCAACCGACUGGUCAGUACCUGACACUCAGGGACGACAGCGUGGGGAGCGAACUGG